rnacentral:lncRNA from 10 species
AAAUAAUCUAAAAAUAUCCAGUUUUUUUGGGGUCAGGUGCAGUGGCUUACGCCUGUAAUCCCAACACUUCGGGAGGCCGAGGUGGGCAGAUCACUUGAGGUCAGGAGUUCGAGACUAGCCUGGCCAACAUGGUGAAACCCCAUCUCUACUAUAAAUGCAAAAAUUAUCUGGGUGUGGUAGCGGGCACCUGUAAUCCCAGCUACAGACCGAGACUCCAUCUCAAAAAAAAAAAAAAAAGUAUUAGUGAGGAAGUGAAGAAAGUCAACCCCUUAUGCAUUGCUGGGAUGAAUAUAAAAUGAUACAGUCGGGAUGGGAAAUCAGUAUGGUUGUUCCUCAAAAAAUUAAACCUAAGGUUGGGCACAGUGGCUCACGCUUGUAAUCCCUGCACUUCGGGAGGCUGAGGCAGGUGGAUCUUGUGAGCCCAAAAGUUUGAGAUCAUCCUGGGCAACAUGGCAAAACCCUGUCUCUAGAAAAAGUACAAAAAUUAGCCAGGUGUAAUAGUACAUGCCUGUAGUUCCAGCUACUCAGGAGGCUGAGGUGGGAGGAUCACCUGUGCCCAGGAGGUUGAGGCUGCAGUGAGCCAUGAGCAUGCCACUGCACUAAAUAAAGAAUUACCAUAGGAUCCAGCAAUUCCACUUCUAGUAUCUACCAAAAGAAUUGAAAGCAGGGACUUCAAAAGAUAUUUAUAUAUCCAUGUUCAUGGCAGCAUUAUUCACAGUAGCCAAAAGGUGGAAGUAUCCCAAGGGUCCAUCAAUGGAUGAAUGGAUAAAAUAAUAUGGUAUAUACAUACAAUGGGAUAUCAUUCUGCCUUGAGAAAUUCUGACAUGUGUUAUAACAUGGAUGAACUUUGAAGAUACACUAAGUGAGAUAAGCUAGCCACAAAAGAACAAAUAGUGUAUGAUUUCUCUAAUACCAGAAGUAAACCAAAAGUAUCCAAGACAGGUCUCAAUCCAUUUAGGAAGUUUAUUUUGACAGGGUUAAGGAUGUACCUGUAAUACAGCCUCAAGUGGUCCCAAGGUGGUCGGGGUACAGCUUGCUUUUAUACGUUUUAGAGAGUCAUGAGACAUCAAUCAAUACAUGUAAGAUGUACAUUGGUUUAAUCUGGAAAGGCAGGAACACUUGAAACUGGGGCUUCCAGGUCAUAGGUAGAUUAAAAAAAUUUUUUUAUUAUACUUUUAGGGUACAUGUGCACAACAUGCAGGUUUCUUGUCCAAGCUGGUCUUGAACUCCUGGGCUCAAGCGAUCAUCCUGCCUCAGCCUCCCAAAGUGCUGGGAUUAUAGGAAUAAGCCACUGCCCCCAGUUCAAAAAAACUUUUUAACGAGUAUCAGGUCAUGCAUACAAGAGUGUUCAUGUGAGCACUCUUUUUAAUACCAAAACCUGAAAACAACCCAAAUGCCCAUUAACAGGCAAGGGAAUAGACAAAUUAAUUAGAAGCUCCUGGAGGACAGGGACCACCUCUACAAAAAAUAAAAAAUCAGUACCUUCCCCAUCUCACACAGUGUCCCAGGACCCUGCAGGGCAGUGGAGGUGCACCCAUAAAUAAAUAAGGAUAUAUUUAUAUCCACUCCAAGUGAAUGUACCAUAAUUAUAUGCCAUAAUGUGGAUUAAUCCUAGCAAUAUAGUAUUAAGUGAAAAGCAUAUGUCCUUAAAGAUUACAUAUAAAGUUAAUAACAUCUAAACACUCCCUCCCCCCAAAAAAACCCCACUCUUUUUGAAUAUAUUUACAUGUGACAUUAAAAGGGAAAACAGAAUGAUUUCAGUAGUGUUACCUUGGAAUGGGGAAGAGGCUGGGUGAUACAACUGAAGAUCAAACAGGUGAAUAUGAAUGGAAAUUCAUUUCCUAGUUUUCAUGUUGGUGAUAAUGUCAAGUGUAUUUGUUGUAUUAUUUUAAAUGAAUGAAUGAAUGAAUGAAGGAUUGAGGGUCUUGAAUGCACCAACAAUGAGAAUGUGUCAUGAGUCGAGAAUAAUGAUGUAUCUAAUUCUAUGCAUCUGUGCAUCUGAAGGGGCCUUAG